CCUACGGGAGGCAGCAGUGAGGAAUAUUGGUCAAUGGGCGCGAGCCUGAACCAGCCAAGUAGCGUGAAGGAUGACUGCCCUACGGGGUGUAAACUGCUUGUAUAAAGGAAUAAAGUGAGGCACGUGGGCCUUUUUGUAUGUACUUUAUGAAUAAGGAUCGGCUAACUCCGUGCCAGCAGCCGCUGUAAUACGGAGGAUCCGAGCGUUAUCCGGAUUUAUUGGGUUGAAAGGGAGCGUAGAAGUGUUGUUAAGUCAGUUGUGAAAGUUUGCGGCUCAACCGGAAAAUUGCAAUUGAUACUGGCAGUCUUGCGUACAGUUGAGGUAGUCGGACUUCGUGGUGUCGCGGUUA
rnacentral:rRNA from 1 species